rnacentral:lncRNA from 1 species
AUGUGAAUCAGACAAGCAUCCCUAGCCUACUCAGCAGCUGAUCAUAGAUACAUGAGUGAAACAAGCCAAGACCAAUCAGAUCUGAUCCCAGUCCAAAUUUCCAAUCUUCUGAAUUAAAAAAAUAAAUAAAUAAAAGAAGAAGUAAGAGACAACAAUAAUCCCAGGAUUAUAUGAAAGUCUGUCUUUCUUUCUUUCUUUCUUUCUUUCUUUCUUUCUUUCUUUCUUUCUUUCUUUCUUUCUUUCUUUCUCUCUCUCUCUCUCUCUCUCUUUCUUUCUCUUUCUCUCUCUCUCUCUCUUUCUUUCUUUCUUUCUUUCUUUCUUAUUUAUUUAUUUAUUUUUUUGUCUUUUUGCCAUUUCUUGGGCUGCUCCCUCGGCAUAUGGAGGUUCCCAGGCUAGGGGUCUAAUUGGAGCUGUAGCUGCCAGCCUACGCCAGAGCCACAGCAACGCGGGAUCCGAGCCGCGUCUGCGACCUACACCACAGCUCACGGCAACGCCGGAUCCUUAACCCACUGAGCAAGGCCAGGGAUCGAACCCGCGACCUCAUGGUUCCUAGUCGGAUUCGUUAACCACUGCGCCACGAAGGGAACUCUGAAAGUCUUUCUUGUUUCACUCAGGAAACAAAGAGUUUUUGGAGAUUAAAACUAAUACAGUGGAAAUAAAUUUUUAAAAGAGCUAGAAAAAUUGAGGAAAUCACUUAGUUAAGUGGUGAAAAAAUGACAGUGAUAUAGAAAAAAUAAAUUUGAGUUGAGAAAGUUAAAGGAUUAAAUCAAGAAUUUCAAUUCAAAUGUGAACAUACAUUUCAGGAAAAAAAAAAAACAUAAAAUUGAGGGUAGCAACUUAUUAAAGACAUUUUUUAAAAAUCCUAGAAUUGAAGGGCUUGCAUUUCUAUAUUAAAAGGGAGACCAGAAAAAAAAUUAAAGGCAUAUUAUGAUCCAGUUUUAGAACACUGAAAAUAAAGAGGUCUUGUAUUUAUUUUCUAGGACUGCUGUAAGAAAGUACCACCAACUGCAUGACUUAAGCAAUGCAUUGUCAGUUUGGGAGGCUAGAAGCACAGAUUAAAGUAUUAACAAGGCUGAUUCCUUUCAAGGGCUAUGUAGGAAGGAAUUAUUUUAGGUCUUUCUCUUUGGCUUGUAGAUGACCAUUUUCUUUCUGUAUCUCUUCAUAUCAUCUUCCCCCAUGUGUGUUUAUCUCUGUAUCCUAAUUCUCCUUUUUCAUAAGAACAUCAAUGAUAUUAGAUCAGAGCCAAUCCUAUUGACUUCAUAUUAAGUGAUUAUAUCUAUAAUGACACUACUUAUAAAUAAGGUCAUGUUCUGAGAGAGUGGGAUUAAGGACUUCCCAUAUGAAUUUUCAGAGGACACAACUCAACCUAUAACAAGUUCUAAGAUUAUCCUAAAAGAAAAUAUAUAUAAAACAGAUCACAUAGAAGGAACUAGAUUUAGAAUGACAUUAGACUUCUCAAUAUACCCUCAAAAUUCUGAGGGAAAAUUGUUUUCAACCAAGAAUUUUGCUCACAAACAAACAACUCAAAUGUAAAGGUGACCUAAAGACAUCUUUAGUCAUGCAAAGACUCAAGUGUUAACUUUCUCUGCCCCCUUUUCAGGAAUCCACUGGUACAGAUGCUUAAUAACAAUGAUGCGGGGUAAGGGUAAACAGGAUAGGUAGAUUUACUCUAAAGUUAAUGAAUCUUCAACUUUAGAAUUCCUCACUUGUCCAGGUCUCCCUUUCAGUGGAUAGAAAGGGCCCUAGCAAUGUGCAAAAAUUUGAAAGAAAGAUAUCCACUAUUGAUUAAGACAGUCACAUUUCCUUGUACAGGUGUGCUAGAACAGUUUGCUGCAGGCAUUUUUGGGAUCCAGCUAAGAAGAAGCUGUGUUAGAGACAUUAUUUUGGGGUUAAUAGGAUAUAUUUAUGAGGCUUAUGUCAUUUCCAUGUGUAAUUAAAUUUUGCCAGCCACAAGUGUGAGAAUAGCUUCUAGUAAUCUCCUAUUAUGCUAACUGCCUUGGUGGCAUCGAAGUUCAGAGUCAGAGGUUUAUUACAGUAAGAAUGUAUCCUUUUGCAGCUGACAUCAGAAGGAUCUAGGUGUGGAAGGAGACAGAGGAUGUGGAAUUUAAAGAGGCAGAAAAAUCUACCCACUAUCAUGCAUGUAUAUUGUGAGCAGAGCAUUCAGCUCUCAUCAAAGUACAGGAAAAAAAAUAGACAUUCUUUUCAGUUAGGAAUGUACUGGAUAAUAUAGAAUUUGUGAUUAUAAAUGCACCAAAGAUUUUUUAAAUGGAAAUUAUGCAAAAAUACGAUUUAUCUGACUUCCUGUGUUUUAAAGGCAUUUGCUUCUAUAUUCAGUGCCAGAAACAGAACAUCUGAGUAUAAAGUUGUGUGGCUUAUAAUUUAGCAUCUUGUCCUAACAAAUUUUGCCACUUUCAGAUGAAAACUGCCCCUGAAUAAAACACCCCUGAAUGGAACCUGAAGAAAUAAGUCUCAAGGGACAAAAACACUACACAUCAUCCUGUACAUGUCAAUGUAUGUGUAUAAUAUACAUUCCUGUAGCUCAAAACAGGCCAGCAGAAAUUUGUAAAUACAUUUGAAUUUAUGGGGCAGGAGAUGAAAAGUAACAGAAUUAUUAUCAUCAGAGGAAACAAAAAGUUGUAAAAGAGUUAUAAUACCAUUUGGUCUCACUGUGAACAGUAUUUACCUCGUCAAAACCAUGAAAGCAUUGUAUAUCGAUUUAGUUGAAUAUUUUAUCAUAUUAGGAAGCUAUUAGGGACUUUGUAUGUGAGUCUGUAUGCUUGUGUAUCUGUUUGCUAUGUGUGAGUUGUUAGAGAAAUGAAUUUUCAUCUUCCAUUUAAAACAAAAUAAAUGCCAAAAAUUGAAAACUGAAUAAAUAGCAAACAGGAAUGUUAAGUGCCUGAGGAAACAGCUAACAGUGUUUUAGUGGUUGUUGUUGGAGAAUAAAAUUGAUGGGCUAGGAAGAGAGGAGUGAGAAAUAGUUACAUUUUUUAUAAACUUUGUAGUACUAUUUGCCUUUUAAAAAUAAUUAUGUAUUUUUGAUAAAAAUAAAAUUUAAUUGAAAAUGGAAUAGAUUCUGAUAAAUUUUCACAAAAUAAGUCCUAUCGGCUUUGUGUUACCCUUUUCAGAUUAUUGCUAAAAUUGACUCACUUUUUAUUGUUGUAUUAUAUAAUGCUAGUCAGAUUACUCUUUCAAGGUGAAGAAAUGAUUAAAUCAAACUAAUUAUUUAUUUGAAGAAAACCUAAAUCCUUCAUAAACCAAAGGAGAAUUGAGAUACAGCAACUUGUUUGAAUAGCAUUGCUUAGAGCCAGUACUUUUUAAAAGGAAAGUAGGAUUUAAAAAUUUAUGAAAUUGAGUUUUCUUUACUGUUUUGAAAAAGAAAUUAUUAAAAUUUUACCAUCUUUGUAGAAUUGAUUUAUCCUUCCUUUCUGUACUAGGUAGGAAAUAAAUUAGUUUUACAUUAAUAAAUCAGAGUACAUGAAAAACUAAUUGCUCACAAAAUGCAGUUGUUAUCAAACGUAGAAAUAAAACAACUUUGUAGCUUAGCUUCCUAAGUUUGAAUUUAUUAUAUAUAAUAAAAUAAAGAUUAAAAAUGUAUGCAUUGGGGUUUCUCAAUGUAGGCACCACACAUUCAUUCACGUUUUGUUGUAGAAGAAGUAUUGAUUUUCCUCUUGAAUCUACAUUUCACAAAGAAAGUAUCAGAGGAAAAAAGCUUGCCUCACAGGCAAGGUUGAAAGCUCAGUUUCAUUUUAUUUCUUAUCUUAAUAGCAGGGAGCUGCUACACUGAAAAAUAUAUGCUACAAAAAGAUUGAACUUGCUCCCUUUUGCAGUUUUGUUCAUCUUUUCUAAAGGACAGUUAUCAACUAAGCAAAAAUAUGAGGAAAUAGCUAUUCUGCUUGGCUUGUGAUAUUUUAGGUCUGUAACUGUGUAGUUUAAAAAAAAAAAAAAUCCAAGCAUGAGAAAGUAAGAGUUCAAAAAUUAAGAGAAAGGUGAUAGAGAAAGGUUUUUGUUGAAUAUAUAGUUUCAGAGGUGAAACAUACUAAGGGGACAUCCUCUAAAAAUUGUCCCCCAGAGUCCUUACCUCCUAAUGUUCAGGCUUUUGUGAAAUCCUCUCUCCUUGAGUGUGCACUGGGCUUACUGACUUGCUUCUAAACAGAACAUGGAAGUAAUGGGAUGUUGCUUCUAAGAUUAGGUUAUAAAAAGUCUUUGACUUCUGUCUUGGUGCUUUCUCUCACUCACUCUUGGAUUGCCCAGUCUGAAAGACUUUGCCAGGUUUUGAGGCAGCUCUGGGGAGCAUCAUGUGAGUGAGCUUUGAGACAGAUCUAAGACCUGCCAACAGCCACAUGUGUGCGUGUAAGAGACUCUUCUCUAGUCAAGCCCUGAGAAAACUGCCACCCCAGCUGGCACCUUUAUUGGAGGCUCUUGAAGGACCCUAGCCAGAAACACCCAGCUAAGUGAGUAUAUGAUUCCUGACCUACUGAAAGUACAAUUUUUUUUUUUAGAUACUAAAUUUGGGGAUAAUUUGUUAUGGAGCAAUAAGUAACUAAUACACAGACCAUAAUUUAAACCUUGGCCCCACUUAUUUUCCUAAGUCUUAGAUUCUAUUUUCCUAAGCCUUAGUCUUGUUAAAAUGAGAUAAUAACCACAUAUAAUUUUGUAUGGUUGUCAUAGAGAUUUAAUGGGAUAACUUAUACUAACAAUUCAGCAUAUAUAACCGCACAUAUGGGGUUCCCAAAAGGGAACCAUUAUUUUUAUUAUCCAUAUAAUUUUUGGCAGGGUGUCUAGGAAUAAUUUAGUCCAUUCUUCUAUACCUAGCUUGGGAUGUAUUUUUUAUAAAGAUCAGUACACCAUGAUCCAGAAUAUAAUUUGUUUUUAAUAUUUAUUUAGGCCAUUGUCAAUCCUUGCUGCCUUUCCAUAGCCACUGGCUACUAUUCUUGGCCUUAGACUCAGUACUAUCCAACCAAUGAACCAAUUCUGACCAAAACACACCAUACGUACAUUAGCAGUUUCACAGUCUCCAACCAGGUAGGUUUAAAAUUAACACUAAAGUCCUAAUACCAGGACCAGAUUAAGUUUGAGGUUUGAGGAAAAAUAACUUUUAAAAUUAUAGAAUUAUCCCUGUCUCAGUUGGCUUUUCCCCUAGGUUCUGAUUUCCUGAUUUGUGCAAGAUGCUGAGAUAUUGGGACCCGUGGUUCCACAUCUAAACUUGACCCUCCUAGACCAGCCAAGCUUUCUUCUUUUUUCCUGAUACCACCAUGAUUCCUGAUUUUCUAUUCUUCUUCCAAGGCAAAAUAACUCUCAGUUGAUUUAUGUGGAUUAUGCCAGGUAUUUGUUAGAUAGGAUUUGGACAACUCCAUGACAGGAAUGGUAUCUGUUACUAUUUCCUCAGAACAACAAGGAUUCCUGCCCUAUCAAUGCCUGUUCCCCUUCUUCCUCCAUUUAUCCUGUUUACCAACACUUCUAACUAAAUCUUAAUUCUCUCUGUCUCACAAGAUUGAAAACACUACAUUUUUACAAAAGCAGUAAUUUAUUAAACUUUAUUUGUGAGGCAGCAUACAGAGAAAACAUUGCUCAGGAAAAAGGAUACUGUAAAAGUAAAUUUACAUCUCCAAAGAUUGAUUUCAUUAAGGCACCUUUUAUCACAUGGGCAAAAAAAGUGAACUCAGUACAACAGUUUCUGACCUCCCUAACUCAAACUUGGGCAUUGAAGAAAAUACACUUCUAAAAAGGAUGAUGAUUAUUUAUAUGUAAUGCUGUGGAAUUGAUAUAAACUGUUAUCAUCUUUAAAGAGAACAUCUUGACCUUUAGAAAAUGAAAGAUGUUUUCUUUCCUAAUUUAGCUAAGAAUAAAAGGUUGAUUUUCCAAUUCUUCAGGAAUAGUAGACCCAUGGCUAUAAAUUCAGCAGAUUGGAAGUCAUAGUAGUGAUGAUGGAUUUUUGCCAAUAUAAAGUAAAAUAUCAGGGCAAUUUCAUGAUAAAAAAUUAUUAUACAACAUCACAACCAUUCUGCUCACACUUUCAAGGAAAUUAAUCAUCCCUAUGCUGGAAUGAUCAAUUUGUAUAAUAUUAGAUUAAUUUGUUUAGAUAAAUAUCGUUACUCAAGAGACAGCACAUUUUAGGAAGAAUGUGUUAAAGUAUGGUAAAAUCAACAAUCUGUACUGAUAUAUUCUACCCUCAUCUCAUUUUUUGUCAGUAAGAAUGGUGUUAUAAAUUACACAUAUGACAGUGAGGCAGGAUAAAGUCUAACGUGUAAAUCCAGAAAUAAAUCUGCUAUAAUGCUAUGUUAGCAGAUUUCACUCCCAAGCCCAAUUUGUAAGGUCUUUGAUUAAUCCUAUGAUGAACCCCUACUCAAAAAUAAACUUGAAAGUAAUUUUAACUACUAAUAUUUAAGCUGUUUAUGAGUUCUUUGAAAGAUUACUUUGAUCUUAGCAUUUGAUGGGCAUUUGUUUGCUCUCAAAGUUAUUUCCUUUUUAUUGUUCAUACUAUAAUCGUCACUUUUGUCGUUUCUUCAAAAGGCAUCACCCAGGAAGUAUGGUUAGUAAUAACAGUGGAGCACAAUUAUCUAAAAGUGCUUUUCUUCCCCUGAAACACACAACAGAGCAUGAGAAGGGAGAAUGAAGAGGCAACUCAGUAGUAGGGAUAUUUCUGUACCGACACUCUGUAGGUAAUCAAGAGUUUGCUUAAAUAUUAUUAAAUAUUUCUAAAUCCUCUUAUAUGUGUAUUGGUCUCUUUACAAACUGUGUCAGUUACAGAGAGAUAAUAAACACCAUUGCAACUUUCCCAAAUUCAAGGGCAAAAAGUGUUUUGUUGUGAAAAAUAUUUAGGAAAUGCUGUAUGUAGAAUCCCUUUGUUAGAGUUCAUAAUUCAUGUUAAUACAUUAGAGAUGCUAUUAAGGACUUUAUUAAAGAAACCCUUUUAACUCAGUUUAAUGUAGUGUUUUAUAAAUUUAAUUAAGUCCUCCUCUUUUUCUUUUUCACUGUACCCUCAUCUUCUCAAAAGGUUAUGCAGGAAGUUAUUAUCUUCUUUUUACAAUAAGGAAGUUGAGUUAAAAUAAUAACAGAUUCAUCCAAAGACAGCUUGAAAAUUAUAACAUUGCACUUUAAAUAUAGAUAAAACUGACUUAUGAUUCAGUUUUCUUUCUAUCACCCACAUUUAUCCUCUAGAAUUUACUCAAAGAUAUAUAAAAUUUGCUUUAUAUUUUUUAAAUUCUAAAUGUCAGCAUACUUCAAAAGAAAAACUAAAUGUUAGGCUUAAAUCCUAAUUAAUGUUGCUGCUAAUUGCUGUGCAACUCCAUGUGAACUUCUGAAGUUAAAAGUGUCAAUAUUAAAGGAGGCUAGCAGAUGAACUGGUAGGACAGAAAGUGGAUAUUGUCACAACCCCAUCUUCCUUCUCUUCAAAUCCAAAAUUUGGGGGGGGGGGAAUCUGAUAUGAUUAUGUUCAGUUUCUUGUUUCACAGAAAAAUACUCUGAAAAACCAAACACAGGCAGUGGAUUCUAGUGAAAAGAGCACCAGGAUUCAUGGGACCUAUAAUUUAGUCUUAGCGCCACUGCUUAGAUUCCAUACAGUUUAAGUCCCUUAUCAUCUUGGAACUUUAGUUUCUGCAUCAGCAGAAUAGGAAUAACACCAGGCUGAUCCAGUUUUACCAGAUAAAUAGUUGGUAUACAUACUAAAUACAUUACAAAAAAUAUUAGAAAUAGCAAACAAAAAUUACUUGUUGGUGUGGAUUAACAAGAGUGAUCACAGUGUCAUAGAGUAUAUUUGCUAUAUCAGAUAUUUUACCAUAUAGGGUAAACAUGACAUUUACUAUGGUAUAUACUAAUCCAUAUAAUAAGCCAUUACAGUGACUCUAUUGCAAAAUAUUGAUUCAUAUAUCCUUUAGCAUUAGUCACUGCUUAUAGAAAAGAUACAACCCCUUUCCAUUACAAAUAAGCAAAGUGAUGUAAAAAAGAGGCUCUUUCCUGGUCAGCAUUAAACAGCAAAUAAUUGAAAAGCUGUAGUGGGGUAUUAGGUCUCCUGAACAACACCUGAGAUUUCCCUUUUACAAUCUUGUGUGCUUCAUAUAAAAUGAUUUCUAGAUAGUAGCAUAUAAAAAGUGUUUCAUUGCAUUUGGUCUAUCUACAUUGAUUAAUGUUCCUGAUAUUUUGAUCCAGGUAAAGAUGAUAUGAAUUGCAGUGGUUCUUGAUCAGUAAUGUUUGAGCAGAAUCAGUACAAUUUUGGCCAUUUGGCACCUGACAUGUUUACUUUAUCUGUAAACUUAGAGAAAUCCAAACUAGGAGUUCCCGACAUGGCGCAGCGGAAAUGAAUCUGACUAUGAACCAUGAGGUUGCAGGUUUGAUUUCUGACCUCACUCAGUGGGUUAAGGAUCUGGUGUUUUCAUGAGCUGUGGUGUAAGUCGCAGACGCAGCUCAGAUCUGGCCUUGCUGUGGCUGUGGCAUAGGCCGGUGGCUACAGCUGCUCUGAUUAGUCCCCUAGCCUGGGAAC